rnacentral:rRNA from 1 species
GGACGGGUGAGUAAUGUCUAGGAACUAGCUUAUGGAGGGGGAUAACUACUGGAAACGGUAGCUAAUACCGCAUAACGUCGCAAGACCAAAGAGGGGGACCUUCGGGCCUCUUGCCAUCAGAUGUGCCCAGAUGGGAUUAGCUAGUAGUGGGGUAACGGCUCACCUAGCGACGAUCCCUACUGGUCUGAGAGGAUGACCAGCCACACUGGAACUGAGACACGGUCCAGACUCCUACGGGAGGCAGCAGUGGGGAAUAUUGCACAAUGGGCGCAAGCCUGAUGCAGCCAUGCCGCGUGUAUGAAGAAGGCCUUCGGGUUGUAAAGUACUUCAGCGGGGAGGAAGGGUGGGAAUAACCACAGCAAGAGUCCCGAAAAAACACCGGAAACUCCCGUGGCCAAGCAAGGCCGGCGGGUACAAUAAACGGGAAGGGGUGGCCAAAGCCGGUCUAACAUCCGGCAAAUUAACCUGGGGCCGGUCAAAAAGACGCCAACGGCAANGCGGCACUGAGUCAAGAGUCCCGGAGAUGUCGGAAAACCCCCCCGGGGGGCCCAAACCUCGGGGAGAAACACGGGCAUAUCGCGCAAAAAUCGGGCAGGNACA